GCUGAUUACAUCAACAUCGUGUCACUUAGGGAAGGAUGUGGGGGGAUACAGAGAUAGGCAGACACCUAGUGAGGUGUGGCCUGUUGCUCAGGCUGGCCCCAACUCAGGUGGGGUGUGCAAAGUCGGGUUAUGAUUGCUCAGAUUCGACUCCCCAAGAACAGUCCUCAGGUGGGAUUCUUGCGGGGGCAGGGAUUGAGUCAAAUCUUGGAAAUGACGUCAUUCUGAACUCAUCUGCCUUUAUCCAGAAGACUACCAAAGCAAACCAGAGGACCAGAGAACAGCAGCUGCUCUGGACAAAGAGGGGAGGACACCCACACCCACAUACCAAGUUCUGGUUGACUUCUACAGCAGAAGGAGCAGGAGACACCAGAAGACUCAGAGGGACUGAAAUAUAAGAAGAUCGAUGCCAGAUGUUGUUGUGAUGACAACCUGUUGGGUUGAAGGACCCCAGGAAGACACAGUCCAGAUUCACAGGGAGAGUGCCACUCACCUAUUGUCACAUGCAGCACAGAAUAAUGCAGAGGCAUGGCAUUAUAACAAUUCCUGAAUGGUGCUUCUCAGAAGAUGGUACUUCUUCGGGUCUGGUACCUGGACUAGUGAGGCUUCUCAGGGGAUGGGACCCCAACCCAGAAUGACAACAUCACCUGAUAACUUCAUCUUCAUCAUUAUCAUCAUCAUCAUCGUUGUUGUUAUUCCUUUUGUUUUGUUUUGAGAUUGUAAUAAAAUUAUAUCAUUUCUCCCUUGC
rnacentral:lncRNA from 1 species